CCUACGGGAUGCAGCAGUGGGGAAUAUUGCACAAUGGGGGAAACCCUGAUGCAGCGCCGCCGCGUGAGCGAUGAAGUAUUUCGGUAUGUAAAGCUCUAUCAGCAGGGAAGAAAAUGACGGUACCUGACUAAGAAGCCCCGGCUAACUACGUGCCAGCAGCCGCGGUAAUACGUAGGGGGCAAGCGUUAUCCGGAUUUACUGGGGGUAAAGGGAGCGUAGACGGGGUUGCAAGUCAGAUGGGAAAGCCCGGGGCUCAACCCCGGGCCUGCAUUUGGAACUGUGCUGCUAGAGUGUCAGAGAGGCAGGCGGAAUUCCUAGUGUAGCGGUGAAAUGCGUAGAUAUUAGGAGGAACACCAGUGGCGAAGGCGGCCUGCUGGAUGAUGACUGACGUUGAGGCUCGAAAGCGUGGGGAGCGAACAGGAUUAGAUACCCCGGUAGUC
rnacentral:rRNA from 1 species